rnacentral:rRNA from 1 species
UGACGGUGCCUGCAGAAAAAGCAACGGCUAACUACGUGCCAGCAGCCGCGGUAAUACGUAGGUUGCAAGCGUUGUCCGGAUUUACUGGGUGUAAAGGGCGUGUAGGCGGAGCUGCAAGUCAGAUGUGAAAUCCCGGGGCUCAACCCCGGAACUGCAUUUGAAACUGUAGCCCUUGAGUAUCGGAGAGGCAAGCGGAAUUCCUAGUGUAGCGGUGAAAUGCGUAGAUAUUAGGAGGAACACCAGUGGCGAAGGCGGCUUGCUGGACGACAACUGACGCUGAGGCGCGAAAGCGUGGGGAGCAAACAGGAUUAGAUACCCUG